rnacentral:rRNA from 1 species
AGGGCACCACCAGGAGUGGAGCCUGCGGCUUAAUUUGACUCAACACGGGAAAUCUCACCAGGCCCGGACACUGGAAGGAUUGACAGAUUGAGAGCUCUUUCUCGAUUCAGUGGGUGGUGGUGCAUGGCCGUUCUUAGUUGGUGGAGCGAUUUGUCUGGUUAAUUCCGAUAACGAACGAGACUCUAGCCUACUAAAUAGAUGACUGAUCCUACGGUAUCAGUCAGACUUCUUAGAGGGACAGGCGGCGACUCAGCCGCACGAAACAGAGCAAUAACAGGUCUGUGAUGCCCUUAGAUGUCCGGGGCCGCACGCGCGCUACACUGAAGAGAUCAGCGUGCAUUAAUAACCCUCUCCGUUAGGAGUGGGUAACCCGAGGAACCUUCUUCGUGAUUGGGAUAGGGCAUUGUAAUUCUUGCCCUUGAACGAGGAAUUCCCAGUAAGCGCGACUCAUAAGGUUGCGUUGAUUACGUCCCUGCCCUUUGUACACACCGCCCGUCGCUACUACCGAUUGAAUGAUUU